rnacentral:siRNA from 1 species
UCAGAAAUGCAUGCGGCCUGACUA